CAAAUCUCGCUUUUUCUGGCAGAGUUAUUCUCAUUCCUCCAAACCAAGAAUCACCAGUAUCAACGAAUAGAGUUGUUUCCUGAUUAACGAGGUUUUGAACCUGGCGAAUAAUCUCUUUUCGAUUGAGUGCAGCCUUGGGGUUUUCCAUAGGUAUUUCAAGUGAUUCUGGCCGUAUACGUUUGUACUCAACAACACUUGCAUUGUUUGCUUUCACCUUUUUUGCUAGUUCAUGAAGGAAAUCCCUUAACAAAACUCCACCAAAUUCGGCAUCAGAAACAGUUACACGAUCAACAUCAACAUGUAACACAUUGGCCUUCGGUGGUAGCGAAGUCCAUCCAUUUGAGCUAUAAUCAGUAAAUGUUGUUCCAGCGCAAAUGAUACAAUCCGACCAGUUGAUAAUGGAUUCAGCACCUAGUGUGCUUGCCUGUCCCCAAUAAAUUCCCGCAUAAUUUGGAUGAGAUUCAGGGAAAAAGCUUUUGGCGUUUGGCAUGACUGCAACAGAGCAGUUCAACGAAUUCGCCAACUCCAAGAAUGCGCUCUCAGCUUUAAAGCUUCGAAGUUUAGGUCCGGCCAACAAUACGGGCUUUUGCUUUCCAUUUACGAUUUUGGCGCUAAUGUCAACGGCCAUUUGCAAAUAUUCUUGAUUGCUGGUUUCAGGCUCGGUAAUCAAGCUGGCUGGUCCCGGCGCUGCACAAGGUUGAGAAGCAACAUUCGUAGGAACUUCAAUGUAAACAGGCUUCUUUUUCAAUAAAGCCAUUUUAAUUGCAUAGUCAAUUAGUCGAGGUGCCUCAGUCGGCCUUUGAAUAGAUACCGCAGCACAAGUAAUUUUCUUGGCCAUCUCAUAUUGAUAGCUAAAGUCAUGGGUUCCCAAAGUAUGAUGCAAUAAAUGAGACGAUCCUAUAUCGUUUGUGUUUGGAGAUCCACUAAUCAAAAUUACAGGAAGGUCUUCAGCGUAUGCACCUCCAAUCCCAUCAAACGCGGUGAAAGCUCCUACACUAUAGGUAACAACACACGCAGCGAUACCGUUGGCACGUGCAUAUCCUUCGGCAGCAAAAGCACAGUUAAGCUCAUUUGCACAGUUUACCUCUUCAAGAUAAUUGUUGUAUUGUAGCUUGUCAAGUAACCCAAGAUUAUAGUCACCGGGAACCACAAAAUGAUGCUUUACGCCAGCUUGUGCUAACCGAACGGCCAAGUAGUGUCCAAUUGUUGUUGGCUGUUGUAACUGAACUGCUUGCUGAUUAUC
rnacentral:sRNA from 1 species